rfam:Pseudozyma antarctica DNA, scaffold: scaffold_v10003, strain JCM 10317, whole genome shotgun sequence.
AGCUUCUUAGCGCAGUAGGUAGCGCGUUGGGCUCAUACGUUGUAUGACAUCUGCCUUUCCACUCCCUGAGUGGUGACACCCAAAGGUCGUCGGAUCGAAACCGACAGAAGCUA